CCGCGAGGGAAAGAUGAAAAGGACUUUGAAAAGAGAGUCAAAAAGUGCUUGAAAUUGCUGGGAGGGAAGCGAAUGGAUGCCUUUGUUGCCUGCUGGUUGUGUGCGGAACGGUGUAAAAGCUGGUCUGUCAACCAACUCAGUGGGCUCGUUAGUGUGGGGGUGGAUGCCGGGAUAAAGAUCCCGGGCUUUGCUCGGGAUUGAUGCUGGUGUCCACUCCGUGGCCUGGGGUGUGCGCCUUUCUGGCGGGCUCGUGCACCUGCACACCCGGGACGCUGGCGGCUUAAGGUUUUUCAUUCGACCCGUCUUGAAACACGGACCAAGGAGUCUAACAUGUAUGCGAGCCUGCGGGUGUUUACACCUUGCUAGGCGUAGGGAAACUGAUGUGUGGGAUCCCCUUGUGGGUGCACCACCGACCGACCGUGAGCUUUUGUGAAAGGUUCGAGUUAAAGCAUACCUGCUGGGACCCGAAAGAUGGUGAACUAUGCCUGAGCAGGGCGAAGCCAGAGGAAACUCUGGUGGAGGCUCGUAGCGAUACUGACGUGCAAAUCGUUCGUCAGACUUGGGUAUAGGGGCGAAAGACUAAUCGAACCAUCUAGUAGCUGGUUCCCUCCGAAGUAUCCCUCAGGAUAGCUGGAGCUCAUAUUGAGAGUUUUAUCAGGUAAAGCGAAUGAUUAGAGGCAUCGGGGGUGAAACACCCUCGACCUAUUCUCAAACUUUAAAUAGGUAAGGUGUCGGGGUUGCUCCGGUGAACCCCGACCUUUGAAUCUGAGCUCCAAGUGGGCCAUUUUUGGUAAGCAGAACUGGA
rnacentral:rRNA from 1 species